CCCCUGAACUCAGGGACAAAGGUCCCUUUGAAUGGGGUGAGGGGGAUAGAAAAUGAGGAGAGCAGGCUAUAAGCUAAAAGAGAAGGCUGAGAUGAGGGUGGAGGAGGUGAGAGGGAGAGGAUAGGCUAGUGGGCUAAACUAAAAGAGAAGGCUGAGAGGAGGGUGGAUGAGGUGAGAGGGAGAGGAUAGGCUAGUGGGCUAAGCUAAAAGAGAAUGCUGAGAUGAGGGUGGAGGAGGUGAGAGGGAGAGGAUAGGCUAGUGGGCUAAGCUAAAAGAGAAUGCUGAGAUGAGGGUGGAGGAGGUGAGAGGGAGAGGAUAGGCUAGUGGGCUAAACUAAAAGAGAAGGCUGAGAGGAGGGUGGAUGAGGUGAGAGGGAGAGGAUAGGCUAGUGGGCUAAACUAAAAGAGAAGGCUGAGAGGAGGGUGGAUGAGGUGAGAGGGAGAGGAUAGGCUAGUGGGCUAAACUAAAAGAGAAGGCUGAGAGGAGGGUGGAUGAGGUGAGAGGGAGAGGAUAGGCUACUGGGCUAAACUAAAAGAGAAGGCUGAGAGGAGGGUGGAGGAGGCUUUGUCUAG